rnacentral:lncRNA from 1 species
CUCAGGAUGAUGCUCUCCAGGUCCAUCCAUUUGGCUAGGAAUUUCAUAAAUUCAUUCUUUUUAAUAGCUGAGUAGUACUCCAUUGUGUAGAUGUACCACAUUUUCUGUAUCCAUUCCUCUGUUGAGGGGCAUCUGGGUUCUUUCCAGUUUCUGGCUAUUAUAAAUAAGGCUGCUAUGAACAUAGUGGAGCAUGUGUCCUUCUUACCAGUUGGGGCUUCUUCUGGAUAUAUGCCCAGGAGAGGUAUUGCUGGAUCCUCCGGUAGUACUAUGUCCAAUUUUCUGAGGAACCGCCAGACUGAUUUCCAGAGUGGUUGUACAAGCCUGCAAUCCCACCAACAAUGGAGGAGUGUUCCUCUUUCUCCACAUCCUCGCCAGCAUCUGCUGUCACCUGAAUUUUUGAUCUUAGCCAUUCUGACUGGUGUGAGGUGGAAUCUCAGGGUUGUUUUGAUUUGCAUUUCCCUGAUGAUUAAGGAUGUUGAACAUUUUUUCAGGUGCUUCUCUGCCAUUCGGUAUUCCUCAGGUGAGAAUUCUUUGUUCAGUUCUGAGCCCCAUUUUUUAAGGGGGUUAUUUGAUUUUCUGAGGUCCACCUUCUUGAGUUCUUUAUAUAUGUUGGAUAUUAGUCCCCUAUCUGAUUUAGGAUAGGUAAAGAUCCUUUCCCAGUCUGUUGGUGGUCUUUUUGUCUUAUAGACAGUGUCUUUUGCCUUGCAGAAACUUUGGAGUUUCAUUAGGUCCCAUUUGUCAAUUCUCGAUCUUACAGCACAAGCCAUUGCUGUUCUGUUCAGGAAUUUUUCCCCUGUGCCCAUAUCUUCAAGGCUUUUCCCCACUUUCUCCUCUAUAAGUUUCAGUGUCUCUGGUUUUAUGUGAAGUUCCUUGAUCCACUUAGAUUUGACCUUAGUACAAGGAGAUAAGUAUGGAUCGAUUCGCAUUCUUCUACAUGAUAACAACCAGUUGUGCCAGCACCAAUUGUUGAAAAUGCUGUCUUUCUUCCACUGGAUGGUUUUGGCUCCCUUGUCGAAGAUCAAGUGACCAUAGGUGUGUGGGUUCAUUUCUGGGUCUUCAAUUCUAUUCCAUUGGUCCACUUGUCUGUCUCUAUACCAGUACCAUGCAGUUUUUAUCACAAUUGCUCUGUAGUAAAGCUUUAGGUCAGGCAUGGUGAUUCCACCAGAGGUUCUUUUAUCCUUGAGAAGAGUUUUUGCUAUCCUCGGUUUUUUGUUAUUCCAGAUGAAUUUGCAAAUUGCUCCUUCUAGUUCGUUGAAGAAUUGAGUUGGAAUUUUAAUGGGGAUUGCAUUGAAUCUGUAGAUUGCUUUUGGCAAGAUAGCCAUUUUUACAAUGUUGGUCCUGCCAAUCCAUGAGCAUGGGAGAUCUUUCCAUCUUCUGAGAUCUUCUUUAAUUUCUUUCUUCAGGGACUUGAAGUUUUUAUCAUACAGAUCUUUCACUUCCUUCGUUAGAGUCACGCCGAGAUAUUUUAUAUUAUUUGUGGCUAUUGAGAAGGGUGUUGUUUCCCUAAUUUCUUUCUCAGCCUGUUUAUUCUUUGUGUAGAGAAAGGCCAUUGACUUGUUUGAGUUAAUUUUAUAUCCAGCUACUUCACCGAAGCUGUUUAUCAGGUUUAGGAGUUCUCUGUUGGAAUUUUUAGGGUCACUUAUAUAUACUAUCAUAUCAUCUGCAAAAAGUGAUAUUUUGACUUCCUCUUUUCCAAUUUGUAUCCCCUUGAUCUCCUUUUGUUGUCGAAUUGCUCUGGCUAAUACUUCAAGUACUAUGUUGAAAAGGUAGGGAGAAAGUGGGCAGCCUUGUCUAGUCCCUGAUUUUAGUGGGAUUGCUUCCAGCUUCUCUCCAUUUACUUUGAUGUUGGCUACUGGUUUGCUGUAGAUUGCUUUUAUCAUGUUUAGGUAUUGGCCUUGAAUUCCUGAUCUUUCCAGAACUUUUAUCAUGAAUGGGUGUUGGAUCUUGUCAAAUGCUUUUUCUGCAUCUAACGAGAUGAUCAUGUGGUUUUUGUCUUUGAGUUUGUUUAUAUAAUGGAUUACAUUGAUGGAUUUUCGUAUAUUAAACCAUCCCUGCAUCCCUGGAAUAAAACCUACUUGGUCAGGAUGGAUGAUUGCUUUAAUGUGUUCUUGGAUUCGGUUAGCGAGAAUUUUAUUAAGAAUUUUUGCAUCGAUGUUCAUAAGAGAAAUUGGUCUGAAGUUCUCUAUCUUUGUUGGAUCUUUCUGUGGUUUAGGUAUCAGAGUAAUAGUGGCUUCAUAAAAUGAGUUGGGUAGAAUACCUUCUACUUCUAUCUUGUGAAAAAGUUUGUGCAGAACUGGAGUUAGAUCUUCUUUG